rnacentral:rRNA from 1 species
AAAUUGCCCUGGAUGUGGGGGAUAACCAUUGGAAACGAUGGCUAAUACCGCAUAAUACCUACGGGUCAAAGAGGGGGACCUUCGGGCCUCUCGCGUCAGGAUAUGCCUAGGUGGGAUUAGCUAGUUGGUGAGGUAAUGGCUCCCAAGGCGACGAUCCCUAGCUGGUCUGAGAGGAUGAUCAGCCACACUGGAACUGAGACACGGUCCAGACUCCUACGGGAGGCAGCAGUGGGGAAUAUUGCACAAUGGGCGCAAGCCUGAUGCAGCCAUGCCGCGUGUGUGAAGAAGGCCUUCGGGUUGUAAAGCACUUUCAGUCGUGAGGAAGGUAGUGUAGUUAAUAGCUGCAUUAUUUGACGUUAGCGACAGAAGAAGCACCGGCUAACUCCGUGCCAGCAGCCGCGGUAAUACGGAGGGUGCGAGCGUUAAUCGGAAUUACUGGGCGUAAAGCGCAUGCAGG